UACGGAGGGUGCUAGCGUUGUUCGGAAUCACUGGGCGUAAAGGGCGUGUAGGCGGUCUUUUAAGUCUGUUGUGAAAUCCCCUCGCUCAACGAGGGAACUGCGUCGGAUACUGGCAGACUUGAGUACCGGAGAGGAAGGUGGAAUUCCCGGUGUAGCGGUGAAAUGCGUAGAUAUCUGGAGGAACACCGGUGGCGAAGGCGGCAUCCUGGACCGGUAUUGACGCUGAUGCGCGAAAGCCAGGGGAGCAAACGGG
rnacentral:rRNA from 1 species